GAAUUAGCAGCUCAUAUGCUAAAAUUGAACAAUAUAAAGAAUAGUAGCAUGUGUCCUAUGCAAGGAUGGCACACAAAUUUGUGAAUCAUUCCAUAUUAUA
rnacentral:snRNA from 1 species